rnacentral:rRNA from 1 species
UACGGAGGGUGCGAGCGUUGUUCGGAAUCACUGGGCGUAAAGCGCGUGUAGGCGGCCCACUAAGUCUGAUGUGAAAGCCCGGGGCUCACCCCCGGAAGUGCAUUGGAAACUGGUGGACUCGAGUCCCGGAGAGGAGAGUGGAAUUCCUGGUGUAGCGGUGAAAUGCGUAGAUAUCAGGAGGAACACCGGUGGCGAAGGCGGCUCUCUGGACGGUGACUGACGCUGAGACGCGAAAGCGUGGGGAGUAAACAGG